ACCUGUGAAGUGGACCAAGACUUGCUGCGCGUGGAGCUGCGUGGGGGGCUGAGCAAGACGGACGGAGGGGCGCCGGGCUGCGCCUGGCCCCAGCCAGUUCCCAGCGCUGCAGAGCAGCCGCUUCUGCGGGUUCUCGGGCUUGAGGAGAAAAGUCGGUUCCGAAGGUUUACAGGAAUCAGAACAGCGCCGAAGGCGCAGCAGCCUCCCAGCCUGUCACCCUGGGCCGGCGGGCGCCAUAAGGGAGGGGUGGCUCCUGUCCUUCCUGUCCCUAGGAGGCGAGCAGGGCGUCUGCGGACCAGGCUGGGUGUCAGCUUCCUCACGGGAAAAGCGGGUCCCGGAUGUCCCCAAAGGCGCGUGCGCACAGGGACCGGGCCUUUGCAAGCUGAUUGGACAAUGCCUGGUGAAGGGACUUCCUGGGCGUGGCCAGGAGGUUAGUCUACCUCUGGCUCCUCCCUUCUCUCCACUUCCUUUUCACCUUGCACUGAGCAGUUCUCCUCCGCCAGACCCAUCUGUCAAACCACCCUGCCUUGGAGCAAUCGGCCAUGGAUUGAGCCCUCUAUAAACCGUGACUAACCGUGCAGCGAAGAAGCAAAUGACUAAGAGAGGUGACAAUCUGCCCUAUGGCCUCCAAGACAAUGAUGACUUUCCAAAGAAUGCAGGAAAGGGUGCUGAGGCAGAAGUCAUGGCGUGAGCUGUGGAGAGCAGUCCUCUCAUAUCGGGGAGAACCGACACCAAAGGAGCUCAAGGUGGACUACAGCUGUGAGAACCUAUGUAAAAAUGGCGGAGUCACAUGGAGAUUCCAGUGGAGGACUUCGGCUCUGCUUGAACAGAGUUAACAGCAACUGAGAAAAAUCCUUCUAGAAGCUUCUCUGGCAACAUGGCCCCCUCAGACUUGACAGGAGUCUCCUCCUCCAGCAGCGCCAAAUGCUCCUGGAAUUCCUCCACCACAAAUGCUUCCUGUGCUGCAGCCGAGAAUUAAUUAGAGAGGAAAAAACCUCUCACGUCAAAACACGUAU